rnacentral:rRNA from 1 species
CACGGGGGGAGCAAGCGUUGUUCGGAAUCACUGGGCGUAAAGGGCGUGUAGGCGGUCGAGUAAGUGGAAUGUGAAAUACUCCGGCUCACCCGGAGCACUGCAUCCCAAACUGCUCGGCUUGAGUAUGGGAGAGGACGAGGGAAUUCCUGGUGUAGCGGUGAAAUGCGUAGAUAUCUGGAGGAACACCGGUGGCGAAGGCGGCAUCCUGGACCGGCAUUGACGCUGAGGCGCGAAAGCUAGGGGAGCAAACGGG